GGUUGCAAGUUUGAGGCCAUAGAAAAAGCACUUAUGGUGCAGCCCUGUCAGAUUCCAACAAGUCUGAAAAUUCUGCU
rnacentral:ribozyme from 1 species